UAAACCGGAGGAAGGUGGGGAUGACGUCAAAGUCAUCAUGCCCCUUAUGACCUGGGCUACACACGUGCUACAAUGGUUGGUACAACGAGUUGCGAGUCGGUGACGGCGAGGCUAAUCUCUUAAAGCCAAUCUCAGUUCGGAUUGUAGGCUGCAACUCGCCUACAUGAAGUCGGAAUCGCUAGUAAUCGCGGAUCAGCACGCCGCGGUGAAUUACCGGUUCCCGGGCCUU
rnacentral:rRNA from 1 species